ACAACUUUCAGCAAUGGAUCUCUUGGCUCUUGCAUCGAUGAAGAACGCAGCGAAAUGCGAUAAGUAAUGUGAAUUGCAGACCCCAGUGAAUCAUCGAAUCUUUGAACGCACCUUGCGCUUCUUAGUAUUCUGAGGAGCAUGCCUGUUUGAGUGUCA
rnacentral:rRNA from 1 species